rnacentral:rRNA from 1 species
UGGGGAAUUUUGGACAAUGGACGCAAGUCUGAUCCAGCCAUGCCGCGUGCGGGAGGAAGGCCUUCGGGUUGUAAACCGCUUUUGUCAGGGAAGAAACGGGUUUCUCUAAUACAGUGACUUAAUGACGGUACCUGAAGAAUAAGCACCGGCUAACUACGUGCCAGCGGCCGCGGUAAUACGUAGGGUGCAAGCGUUAACCGGAAUUACUGGGCGUAAAGCGUGCGCAGGCGGUUAUGCAAGUCAGAGGUGAAAUCCCCGGGCUCAACCUGGGAACUGCAUUUGAGACUGCGAAGCUAGAGUGCGGUAGAGGGGGGUGGAAUUCCGCGUGUAGCAGUGAAAUGCGUAGAUAUGCGGAGGAACACCGGUGGCGAAGGCGGUCCCCUGGACCUGUACUGACGCUCAUGCACGAAAGCGUGGGGAGCAAACA